rnacentral:rRNA from 1 species
UGAGCCAAGUUUAGGGUUUUCUCAAAACCCAAGCAGUAUUGAACUGAAGAGUUUGAUCAUGGCUCAGAUUGAACGCUGGCGGCAGGCCUAACACAUGCAAGUCGAGCGGAUGAAGGGAGCUUGCUCCCGGAUUCAGCGGCGGACGGGUGAGUAAUGCCUAGGAAUCUGCCUGGUAGUGGGGGAUAACGUC